rnacentral:rRNA from 1 species
AGUGAACGCUGGCGGUAGGCCUAGCACAUGCAAGUCGAACGGCAGCACAGUAAGAGCUUGCUCUUACGGGUGGCGAGUGGCGGACGGGUGAGGAAUACAUCGGAAUCUACUUUUUCGUGGGGGAUAACGUAGGGAAACUUACGCUAAUACCGCAUACGACCUACGGGUGAAAGCAGGGGAUCUUCGGACCUUGCGCGAUUGAAUGAGCCGAUGUCGGAUUAGCUAGUUGGCGGGGUAAAGGCCCACCAAGGCGACGAUCCGUAGCUGGUCUGAGAGGAUGAUCAGCAACAAUGGAACUGAGACACGGGCCAGACUCCUACGGGAGGCAGCAGUGGGGAAUAUUGGACAAUGGGCGCAAGCCUGAUCCAGCCAUACCGCGUGGGUGAAGAAGGCCUUCGGGUUGUAAAGCCCUUUUGUUGGGAAAGAAAAGCAGCAGGUUAAUACCCCGCUGUUCUGACGGUACCCAAAGAAUAAGCACCGGCUAACUUCGUG